rnacentral:rRNA from 1 species
UACAGAGGUGGCAAGCGUUGUUCGGAAUUACUGGGCGUAAAGAGCGUGUAGGCGGCCAGACAGGUCCGUUGUGAAACUCGAGGCUCAACCUCGAGAUGUCGAUGGAAACCGUCUGGCUAGAGUCCGGAAGAGGAGAGUGGAAUUCCCGGUGUAGCGGUGAAAUGCGCAGAUAUCGGGAAGAACACCCGUGGCGAAGGCGGCUACUCUGGAACGGUACUGACGCUGAGACGCGAAAGCGUGGGGAGCGAACAGG